rnacentral:lncRNA from 1 species
CCUCUGUCCUCUGCCGCCCAGUGUCUCCGCUGUGCUGACCGACUGCAUUUCUGACACUCUCUUGCAGUGAUGCAGCCAGUGACGGCAGUGCUGAAAGCCCACUGGCGUGUUUGCAGCCUGUCUGCCUGCAGCCCUUUCUAUGGCUCUUUCCAGUUUCCCUCUGAUUUAUUCUCACACUGAGCCACGAGAGAACUGAGGGGGCUGUUGUUGGACCUCUUGCCAAAGGGAAAAUGGAGGAUCUUCCCAUUUCUGUCAACCUCGGAUGAGGCACCGCUCCUGCCCAUCCCGUCCCCCAGCCUGCCCUGUGCCUGUCCUCCACCCAUCAGCAUCAUUUGUUCUUCCUCUAGACUGGAAGCUCGUCGUGGGCAAGGGGCGUGUCUACCACCUCUGUACUCUCCCAAGCGCUAGGACAGUGCUCUGCACGCAGAAAACUCUCAAAUGAUUUGAUUCCGGGCAGGGCAGGCGUUCAGAGUGACUAGAUUUCAUCCAGGUCUCACGGCUGGUUGGCUUGGGAAAAGUCACCAUGGUUUCUGGAUUCGUGUCAACCAGGAAGGGUAGGAAUUUAGACUGGGCUCCCCCGAAGGCUUGGGGCGGGCCUGGGGACUUAGGGCUGCCUCUGGACAGCCUCUCUUCGGCAGACUCGUGAUAUUUUGGAAGAGAGGGUGGACCUUGCAGAUGAACAUUCCUACUCUGCCAUCGCUAGAGGGUAGUAGUGGCCAGAGGAGAAUGCAAAGCGAAUCCCUCCUGCAGGAUGAAGAGCCAUUGUUCAGGCCCGAGGGAUUGGGUGUGGUGGGUUCACGAGAAUGGGCAGCCCUCUUCUGAGCGAAGGAAAGCUGCUGUGCCUUCGUGGCUCCGGAUCUGGGACCCUAAAUGUCCCAAGGAGAAGAGGAGGGUGGAGAGAUCCAGCUGAAGGUAUAGAAGUCUCCUCUCAGAGCAGUCCUGAUCUCAAGGACGUCUGUCCCACCGGUCCCAAAUGGUCAAUCGCAAAAAAGGUCUUGCUGCCUGUGUGGUGCUGGGCUUUGAAAUUCUCAAGUGAGCAGCGGGAGAUUCAUGCAGCUCUUAUUGUGAUGUUCUUAUUUGAAGCACUCAGAGUUUCCUGCCCAAGAGCCCAGCAGCAAAUAGAAUCAAACAUAUUGCCUGCAGCACCAUGGAAAAGAGACCGGGCCGUGAUGGAGAUCAAAUCUACUCCGUCGGGUAGGAUCCUCAAUAAAUACCACUGA